GAUGAACGCUAGCUACAGGCUUAACACAUGCAAGUCGAGGGGUAACGAGAGGAAAGCUUGCUUUCCUUGUCGACGACCGGCGCACGGGUGAGUAACGCGUAUCCAACCUGCCCCCAACUAGGGAAUAACCUUGCGAAAGUAAGACUAAUACCCUAUAAUUUCCUCAGAUGUCAUCUGACGAGGAAUAAAGAUUUAUCGGUUGUGGAUGGGGAUGCGUCUGAUUAGCUUGUUGGCGGGGUAACGGCCCACCAAGGCAACGAUCAGUAGGGGUUCUGAGAGGAAGGUCGUCCACAUUGGAACUGAGACACGGUCAAAACUCCUACGGGAGGCAGCAGUGAGGAAUAUUGGUCAAUGGGCGGAAGCCUGAACCAGCCAAGUAGCGUGCAGGAUGACGGCCCUAUGGGUUGUAAACUGCUUUUAUACAGGAAUAAAGUUAGCCACGUGUGGUUAUUUGUAGGUACUGUAUGAAUAAGGACCGGCUAAUUCCGUGCCAGCCGCCGCCGUAA
rnacentral:rRNA from 1 species